CAUACCUACCUACAGAAAUUUAUCAAGUGACUUGCAGUGAUUAUUUAAGUUUGACUUUGAUGUUUCUGUCAGUUAGUCAGUUGGCAUUUUUUGUUUAAAUAUUUGCUUAAAAUGGAAGAAAUUCCACAAAAUAUAAGAGAAAAGGCCAUAAAAGCGACCGAAAAUCUUUUGCCAGUUAAAUCAAGGCAACAGUAUGAUCGGGAGUAUGGCAUAUUUGGUAUUUGGAAAGAUGCCAACGCAAUUGUUCAAAUGACCGAAACCGUUCUAAUGGCAUAUUUUCAGGAACUGUCGGAAAAAUACAGUCCGAACUCUCUCUGGACCAAGUAUUUUACCCUAAGGUCUACGUUAAUGGUCUAUAAAAAUAUAGACAUCUCGCAAUACGAUCGUCUCAUAUCUUUUUUAAAAGUUAAGUCGAAAGGAUAUGUCCCGAAGAAGUCCAAAGUUUUGGAAGGAGAACAAAUAAUAAAGUUUUUUAAGAAGUCUCCUGAUGAUAUCUACUUGGUACACAAAGUCAUAUUGAUAAUGGGUGUUUUUGGAGGUUUAAGACGAGAUGAGUUGGUCAAAAUGACCAUUGAUGAUAUUGAAGAUAGAGAAACGGUCUUGGUUAUAAAGGUACCAGAAACUAAAACUUCAACUUAAAAAAGUUUUACUAUCAUUGAAGAAGAUUUAGGCGCUUUAAAUUUAAUAAAAAACUUUAUUUCCAAAAUAAAAAUUACAAUUUUGAAAUGUCCCGGAAAAUGUAGCUGAUCCCACUAUAGAAUGGUCGGUGUUUUUUGUGAUGGUAGAGGUGGCAGCACUAACGCUAUUUUGUAUAGUUUGUAAAUUGUCCAUUAAAAUUAUUUUUGUAUAAAA
rnacentral:lncRNA from 1 species